rnacentral:rRNA from 1 species
CCUACGGUGGGCUGCAGUGAGGAAUAUUGGUCAAUGGCCGAGAUCCUGAACCAGCCAAGCCGCGUGAGGGAAGACGGCCCUAUGGGUUGUAAACCUCUUUUGUCGGGGGACAAAACCCGGGACGUGUCCCGUACUGCGUGUAUCCGAAGAAAAAGCAUCGGCUAACUCCGUGCCAGCAGCCGCGGUAAUACGGAGGAUGCGAGCGUUAUCCGGAUUUAUUGGGUUUAAAGGGUGCGUAGGCGGUCCGUUAAGUCGGCGGUAAAAUUGCGGGGCUCAACCCCGUCGAGCCGUCGGAACUGGCAGACUUGAGUGGGGGAGAGGCAGGCGGAAUGCGCGGUGUAGCGGUGAAAUGCAUAGAUAUCGCGCAGAACGCCGAUUGCGAAGGCAGCGUACCGGGGCCCGACUGACGCUGAGGCACGAAAGCGUGGGGAUCGAACAGGAUUAGAUACCCGUGUAGUC